UACGUAGGGUGCGAGCGUUGUCCGGAAUUAUUGGGCGUAAAGAGCUCGUAGGCGGCCUGUUGCGUCCGCUGUGAAAGCCCGGGGCUUAACCCCGGGUCUGCAGUGGAUACGGGCAGGCUAGAGGUAGGUAGGGGAGAAUGGAAUUCCCGGUGUAGCGGUGAAAUGCGCAGAUAUCGGGAGGAACACCGGUGGCGAAGGCGGUUCUCUGGGCCUUACCUGACGCUGAGGAGCGAAAGCGUGGGGAGCAAACAGG
rnacentral:rRNA from 1 species